AAAAAAAAACCCUGUAUGAAUAUUUAGGAGAAGAAGAAGAAAGAGAAGACGAAGAAGAUAAUGGAGAUGGAGACAAUGAUUCACUGAAUGCCAAGAUAAGAUGAAUGAAGAAUAUUGUCGAAGAAUCAAAUCUGGGGACAUGAAUAAGAAUAACAUGAACUUUCCUGAGAUUUUAUGAAAUGUGAGAUUGAAA